rnacentral:rRNA from 1 species
UACCCCACUAUGCUCAGUCGUAAACUUAGGUAUUCCUUUACCACCAAUACCCGCCUGGGAACUACGAGCGCUAGCUUAAAACCCAAAGGACUUGGCGGCACCUCAGACCCACCUAGAGGAGCCUGUUCUAGAACCGAUAAUCCCCGUUAAACCUCACCACUUCUUGUUAUCACAGCCUAUAUACCGCCGUCGUCAGCUUACCCUGUGAAGGAUGCCUAGUAAGCAAAAUGAGCAAGACUCAAAACGUCAGGUCGAGGUGUAGCGCAUGAAGUGGGAAGAAAUGGGCUACAUUUUCUACUCCAGAAUACUACGAAAGGCACCAUGAAAUAAGUACCCGAAGGUGGAUUUAGCAGUAAAAAGAAAAUAGAGAGUUCUUUUGAAUCCGGCUCUGAGGCGCGCACACACCGC